GAAUUUUGGACAAUGGGCGAAAGCCUGAUCCAGCAAUGCCGCGUGCAGGAUGAAGGCCUUCGGGUUGUAAACUGCUUUUGUACGGAACGAAAAGCUUUGGGUUAAUACCCUGGAGUCAUGACGGUACCGUAAGAAUAAGCACCGGCUAACUACGUGCCAGCAGCCGCGGUAAUACGUCGGGUGCAAGCGUUAAUCGGAAUUACUGGGCGUAAAGGCGGGGGAGGCGGGUUUGGAAAGCAGGAGGGAAAUCCCCGGGCUCAACCUGGGAACUGCCUUUGUGACUGCAAGGCUAGAGUACGGCAGAGGGGGGUGGAAUUCCGCGUGUAGCAGUGAAAUGCGUAGAUAUGCGGAGGAACACCGAUGGCGAAGGCAACCCCCUGGGCCUGUACUGACGCUCAUGCACGAAAGCGUGGGGAGCAAACA
rnacentral:rRNA from 1 species